rnacentral:lncRNA from 1 species
GGCCAAUGGAAAGUAGAAAUAAGAAGAGCCCAGACUCUCAAUUUACAUAAGAAAAUAAAUAUGUGCAUGUGUAACACAAACAAGCUUGGUUUACAGAGGAAAGCUUGGUUCCCAAAUACAUCAAAAUCUGAUUUUCCAAACAAGCUUGAGAUGCACAAAGACCCAAAUUCAAAAAACAAACAAGACUAGGAUCCCAAUUCACAAACACACAAAUCAGAGAACUUGAAGCAUAGGAUCUGAAUUCAGAAAGAAAUUGAUGCUUGUAAUUGUUAUUUAGGAAAGACAAAAUUCAGAAAACAAACUACAUGACUCCAAACAAGCAUCUCAUUGCACAAACUUGUACCCGUUUCAAACAGGGUAAAGAUGGCACCCUCAACUCUAGCGGCCUUCACCAGCGAAAUACCGAACCUGCAAGUACUGAAAGAAAAUUUCGAACUUUUGAGAAUUUUCCGUAGUAAAAACAAUCAGCACAAUUCAGAUUGUGCAGGCGCGAAUAUACACGAUUGAAACAAAAAAUGGAAAGAGAAAGCAUCGAAAGGUGAAUACUCUUUCGUAAUCAGACCUAAUUGACCUCCUACAAAGAAAUAAACAGUCGAAAGCAACAAAAUUUGCCGAAACCAUGAAAUGUCCAAAAGCGGCAAAAGAAAAACCAUUGAGCUCCAUAUUUUUUGCAGACCCAAGUCCGAUUGUGUAGGAAAAAAAAAUCAAAAAUCCUAAUAAACUUUGCAUACUCCUUUAUAAUACAUGAGCAAGAUAUGAUUUUGAAACAGGAAUUUCCCGAAAAUGUCACAAAACUCACCUUCGAGAGGAUCUGACGCAAAAACUCACUUCAUCAGCUGAAUAACUCGUCUUCGUUAUGUCGAAGGAGGCGGAUUUGCAGACCCCUACCCCUCCGAUUUGAAGUAAUUUGAGGGAUAAAAUUGUAAAGUUGAAAUCUAAUAUCAUUUCACUGUUCAAAUCGAUAUUAUUCAACUGGGGGUGAGCGGUGGUUGUAUUUUCUCUUCCGAACAGUGAUUUUGGAGCGGGCUUUGAUUUUGGUGCGGGCCUUCAUUAUUAUUUACAAAGCCUAUCAAACAGUGGGUUAGGGUGAGAAAUAUAAGUUAUCUCAUAUAAGAUACCCUAUCAAACAUUGCCUUA